rnacentral:snoRNA from 1 species
CACCUCGAAAUGAUGAUUUUCCGAGAUUCAUGCAUAGUUCACACUGAGUGCCACGGCGCGAUGUUGAUCACUUUAUCUAUCAUAUAGUCUUUCGCUCCUAUCUGAUCCAUCAC